UGGGCAACCUGCCCCCUCUCUCUGGGAUAACCCCCGGGAAACCGGAGCUAAUACCGGAUACUCCGGCUGGAUCGCAUGGUCCGGCCGGGAAAGGUCCGCCGGAGAGGGAUGGGCCCGCGGCCUAUCAGCUUGUUGGUGUGGGUAACGGCCCACCAAGGCGACGACGGGUAGCCGGCCUGAGAGGGUGACCGGCCACACUGGGACUGAGACACGGCCCAGACCUCCGUACGGGAGGCA
rnacentral:rRNA from 1 species